rnacentral:rRNA from 1 species
GUGGGGAAUAUUGGACAAUGGGCGAAAGCCUGAUCCAGCCAUGCCGCGUGUGUGAAGAAGGUCUUCGGAUUGUAAAGCACUUUAAGUUGGGAGGAAGGGCAGUAAGUUAAUACCUUGCUGUUUUGACGUUACCAACAGAAUAAGCACCGGCUAACUUCGUGCCAGCAGCCGCGGUAAUACGAAGGGUGCAAGCGUUAAUCGGAAUUACUGGGCGUAAAGCGCGCGUAGGUGGUUCAGCAAGUUGGAGGUGAAAUCCCCGGGCUCAACCGGGGAACUGCCUCCAAAACUGCAUGACUAGAGUACGGUAGAGGGUAGUGGAAUUUCCUGUGUAGCGGUGAAAUGCGUAGAUAUAGGAAGGAACACCAGUGGCGAAGGCGACUACCUGGACUGAUACUGACACUGAGGUGCGAGAGCGUGGGGAGCAAACAGGAUUAGAAGCCCCGGUAGUCC